rnacentral:rRNA from 1 species
GUGGGGAAUAUUGGACAAUGGGCGCAAGCCUGAUCCAGCAAUGCCGCGUGGGUGAAGAAGGUCUUCGGAUCGUAAAGCCCUUUCGACAGGGACGAUGAUGACGGUACCUGUAGAAGAAGCCCCGGCUAACUUCGUGCCAGCAGCCGCGGUAAUACGAAGGGGGCUAGCGUUACUCGGAAUUACUGGGCGUAAAGGGCGCGUAGGCGGCUCUGUUAGUCAGGCGUGAAAUUCCUGGGCUUAACAUGGGGACUGCGCUUGAUACUGCAGGGCUUGAGGCCGAGAGAGGGUGGUGGAAUUCCCAGUGUAGAGGUGAAAUUCGUAGAUAUUGGGAAGAACACCGGUGGCGGAGGCGACCACCUGGCUCGGUUCUGACGCUGAGGCGCGACAGCGUGGGGAGCAAACAGGAUUAGAUACCCCUGUAGUCC